CCCUUAGAUGUUCUGGGCCGCACGCGCGCUACACUGUUCGACGCAGCGAGUCUUAACCUUGACCGAAAGGUUUGGGUAAUCUUCAGCAAAGUCGAACGUGAUGGGGAUCGAUCAUUGCAAUUAUUGAUCGUGAACGAGGAAUUCCUAGUAAGUGCAAGUCAUCAGCUUGCGCUGAUUACGUCCCUGCCCUUUGUACGCACCGCCCGUCGCUACUACCGAUUGAAUGGUUUAGUGAGAUCUCUGGAUUGACGCUGGCUAGGGGGCGACCCUUGGCCAGACUGCUCGAGAAACUGCUCAAACUUGAUCAUUUAGAGGAAGUAAAAGUCGUAACA
rnacentral:rRNA from 1 species